GGCUCAAUCCCCAGAGCGCAUAAGGGAGGCAAUUAAUUGAUAUUUCUCUCUUACACUGAUGUCUCUCUCUUUCUCUCUCUCUCUCUUCCUUCCUCUCUC